rnacentral:ncRNA from 15 species
CUUCUGCGGGAAUGGCUCUGGGAGAUUGUUCUGAAAUUAUACGGUUGGAACUUGAUCUGGAUAAUACCAGCGAAAGGAUCAUGCAAUCCCUCUUCU